CUGGUGAUCGUUGGUCCCGGCGC
rnacentral:piRNA from 1 species